AGUAUACUGUUCGGUGGCGCAGCUAACGCAUUAAACAUUCCGCCUGGGGAGUACGGUCGCAAGAUUAAAACUCAAAGGAAUUGACGGGGACCCGCACAAGCGGUGGAGCAUGUGGUUUAAUUCGAUUCAACGCGAAGAACCUUACCUACUCUUGACAUACUAGAAACUUUUCAGAGAUGAAUUGGUGCCUUCGGGAAUCUAGAUACAGGUGCUGCAUGGCUGUCGUCAGCUCGUGUCGUGAGAUGUUGGGUUAAGUCCCGCAACGAGCGCAACCCU
rnacentral:rRNA from 1 species